rnacentral:rRNA from 1 species
CCUACGGGAGGCUGCAGUGAGGAAUAUUGGUCAAUGGCCGCAGGGCUGAACCAGCCAAGUCGCGUGAGGGAUGACGGUCCUAUGGAUUGUAAACCUCUUUUGUCAGGGAGCAAAGGGCGCCACGUGUGGCGCUUUGCGUGUACCUGAAGAAAAAGCAUCGGCUAACUCCGUGCCAGCAGCCGCGGUAAUACGGAGGAUGCGAGCGUUAUCCGGAUUUAUUGGGUUUAAAGGGUGGGUAGGCGGAUUUUUAAGUCAGCGGUAAAAUGUUCGGGCUCAACCCGGGCCGGCCGUUGAAACUGGGAAUCUUGAGUAGACGAGAGGUGUGCGGAAUGCGUGGUGUAGCGGUGAAAUGCAUAGAUAUCACGAAGAACUCCGAUUGCGAAGGCAGCAUACCGGCGCCCGACUGACGCUGAGGCACGAAAGCGUGGGGAUCGAACAGGAUUAGAUACCCUAGUAGUC